rnacentral:ncRNA from 1 species
AUGCUAGGGGGGCUUUAAGCUGAGAUUGUAUGUUUGUACAGACCCUUAUUACCUGAUCCGGUUAAUACCGGCGUAGGGAAGCAGGA